CGGACGCUAAACGAAAUUUACAACUGGUUCACAAGAAUGUUCUUCUACUUCCGUCACAAUCCUCCUACAUGGAAGAAUGCUGUGCGACACAAUCUUAGUCUCCACAAAUGCUUUGUGCGGGUGGACGGGAGGACAGGGGCGGUGUGGACAGUGGACGAAGAAGAGUUUCAGAAGAGAAAAGGGCAG